CGGUGGAAUGCGUAGAUAUAUGGAAGAAUACCAGUGGCGAAGGCGGCUCUCUGGUCUGCAACUGACGCUGAGGCUCGAAAGCAUGGGUAGCGAACAGGAUUAGAUACCCUGGUAGUCCAUGCCGUAAACGAUGAGUGCUAAGUGUUGGGAGGCUUCCGCCUCUCAGUGCUGCAGCUAACGCAUUAAGCACUCCGCCUGGGGAGUACGACCGCAAGGUUGAAACUCAAAGGAAUUGACGGGGGCCCGCACAAGCGGUGGAGCAUGUGGUUUAAUUCGAAGCAACGCGAAGAACCUUACCAGGUCUUGACAUCUAGUGCCAUUUGUAGAGAUACAAAGUUCCCUUCGGGGACGCUAAGACAGGUGGUGCAUGGCUGUCGUCAGCUCGUGUCGUGAGAUGUUGGGUUAAGUCCCGCAACGAGCGCAACCCUUGUUAUUAGUUGCCAGCAUUAAGUUGGGCACUCUAAUGAGACUGCCGGUGACAAACCGGAGGAAGGUGGGGAUGACGUCAAGUCAUCAUGCCCCUUAUGACCUGGGCUACACACGUGCUACAAUGGGCAGCACAACGAGCAGCGAGCCUGCGAAGGCAAGCAAAUCUCUGAAAGCUGUUCUCAGUUCGGACUGCAGUCUGCAACUCGACUGCACGAAGCUGGAAUCGCUAGUAAUCGCGGAUCAGCACGCCGCGGUGAAUACGUUCCCGGGCCUUGUACACACCGCCCGUCACACCAUGGGAGUCUGCAAUGCCCAAAGCCGGUGGCCUAACCGCAAGGAAGGAGCCGUCUAAGGCAGGGCAGAUGACUGGGGUGAAGUCGUAACAAGGUAGCCGUAGGAGAACCUGCGGCUGGAUCACCUCCUU
rnacentral:rRNA from 1 species